rnacentral:rRNA from 1 species
AAAUUGAAGAGUUUGAUCAUGGCUCAGAUUGAACGCUGGCGGCAGGCCUAACACAUGCAAGUCGAGCGGUAGCACAGAGAGCUUGCUCUCGGGUGACGAGCGGCGGACGGGUGAGUAAUGUCUGGGAAACUGCCUGAUGGAGGGGGAUAACUACUGGAAACGGUAGCUAAUACCGCAUAAUGUCGCAAGACCAAAGUGGGGGACCUUC